rnacentral:rRNA from 1 species
AGUGGCGAACGGGUGAGUAACACGUAGGCAACCUGCCCAAAAGAGGGGGAUAACACUUGGAAACAGGUGCUAAUACCGCAUAACCAUGAACACCGCAUGAUGUUCAUGUAAAAGACGGCUUUUGCUGUCACUUUUGGAUGGGCCUGCGGCGUAUUAACUUGUUGGUGGGGUAACGGCCUACCAAGGUGAUGAUACGUAGCCGAACUGAGAGGUUGAUCGGCCACAUUGGGACUGAGACACGGCCCAAACUCCUACGGGAGGCAGCAGUAGGGAAUCUUCCACAAUGGACGAAAGUCUGAUGGAGCAACGCCGCGUGAAUGAAGAAGGCCUUCGGGUCGUAAAAUUCUGUUGUCAGAGAAGAACGUGCGUGAGAGUAACUGUUCACGUAUUGACGGUAUCUGACCAGAAAGCCACGGCUAACUACGUGCCAGCAGCCGCGGUAAUACGUAGGUGGCGAGCGUUGUCCGGAUUUAUUGGGCGUAAAGGGAACGCAGGCGGUCUUUUAAGUCUGAUGUGAAAGCCUUCGGCUUAACCGAAGUAGUGCAUUGGAAACUGGAAGACUUGAGUGCAGAA